GUACACUCCUGCGGGAGGCAGCAGUGGGGAAUAUUGGACAAUGGGCGCAAGCCUGAUCCAGCCAUGCCGCGUGAGUGAUGAAGGCCCUAGGGUUGUAAAGCUCUUUCACCGGUGAAGAUAAUGACGGUAACCGGAGAAGAAGCCCCGGCUAACUUCGUGCCAGCAGCCGCGGUAAUACGAAGGGGGCUAGCGUUGUUCGGAUUUACUGGGCGUAAAGCGCACGUAGGCGGACUAUUAAGUCAGGGGUGAAAUCCCGGGGCUCAACCCCGGAACUGCCUUUGAUACUGGUAGUCUUGAGUUCGAGAGAGGUGAGUGGAAUUCCGAGUGUAGAGGUGAAAUUCGUAGAUAUUCGGAGGAACACCAGUGGCGAAGGCGGCUCACUGGCUCGAUACUGACGCUGAGGUGCGAAAGCGUGGGGAGCAAACAGGAUUAGAAACCCCAGUAGUCCCAUG
rnacentral:rRNA from 1 species